rnacentral:rRNA from 1 species
CGAAUGCUGACAUAAGUAACGAUAAAGCGGGUGAAAAGCCCGCUCGCCGGAAGACCAAGGGUUCCUGUCCAACGUUAAUCGGGGCAGGGUGAGUCGACCCCUAAGGCGAGGCCGAAAGGCGUAGUCGAUGGGAAACAGGUUAAUAUUCCUGUACUUGGUGUUACUGCGAAGGGGGGACGGAGAAGGCUAUGUUGGCCGGGCGACGGUUGUCCCGGUUUAAGCGUGUAGGCUGGUUUUCCAGGCAAAUCCGGAAAAUCAAGGCUGAGGCGUGAUGACGAGGCACUACGGUGCUGAAGCAACAAAUGCCCUGCUUCCAGGAAAAGCCUCUAAGCAUCAGGUAACAUCAAAUCGUACCCCAAACCGACACAGGUGGUCAGGUAGAGAAUACCAAGGCGCUUGAGAGAACUCGGGUGAAGGAACUAGGCAAAAUGGUGCCGUAACUUCGGGAGAAGGCACGCUGAUAUGUAGGUGAAGUCCCUCGCGGAUGGAGCUGAAAUCAGUCGAAGAUACCAGCUGGCUGCAACUGUUUAUUAAAAACACAGCACUGUGCAAACACGAAAGUGGACGUAUACGGUGUGACGCCUGCCCGGUGCCGGAAGGUUAAUUGAUGGGGUCAGCG